CCCAGACUCCUACGGGAGGCAGCAGUGGGGAAUAUUGCACAAUGGGGGAAACCCUGAUGCAGCGACGCCGCGUGAGUGAGGAAGUAUUUCGGUAUGUAAAGCUCUCUCAGCAGGGAAGAAAAUGACGGUACCUGACUAAGAAGCCCCGGCUAACUACGUGCCAGCAGCCGCGGUAAUACGUAGGGGACAAGCGUUGUCCGGAUUUACUGGGUGUAAAGGGCGCGUAGGCGGAUGUGCAAGUCAGUCGUGAAAUACCGGGGCUCAACCCCGGGGCUGCGAUUGAAACUGCACACCUUGAGUAUCGGAGAGGAAAGCGGAAUUCCUAGUGUAGCGGUGAAAUGCGUAGAUAUUAGGAGGAACACCAGUGGCGAAGGCGGCUUUCUGGACGACAACUGACGCUGAGGCGCGAAAGUGUGGGGAGCAAACAGGAUUAGAUACCCGAGUAGU
rnacentral:rRNA from 1 species